rnacentral:rRNA from 1 species
AACGAACGCUGGCGGCAGGCCUAACACAUGCAAGUCGAACGCCGUAGCAAUACGGAGUGGCAGACGGGUGAGUAACGCGUGGGAACAUACCCCUCGGUUCGGAAUAACUCAGGGAAACUUGAGCUAAUAACCGGAUACGUCCGAGGUUUUAAUCGGCCUUGGAGAAAGAUUUAUCGCCGGAGGAUUGGCCCGCGUCUGAUUAGCUUGUUGGUGAGGUAAUGGCUCACCAAGGCGACGAUCAGAGCUGGUCUGAGAGGAUGAUCAGCCACAUUGGGGACUGAGACACGGCCCAAAACUCCUACGGGAGGCAGCAGUGGGGAAUAUUGGACAAUGGGCGAAAGCCUGAUCCAGCCAUGCCGCGUGAGUGAU